GAAUAAAUUGAAAAAAUGAAAGAGUGGAUUUUGGCAAUAGAAGGUCAUGAUCUCCAAAUUGGGUGGCGUGCCUUUCUAUGGGAUAAAAGGAAUAAGAUCCACUCCUAUUUCCAUAGACAUUUGAUAAGGGACUCACUUUUACAAACAUGGG